UACGGGGGGGGCAAGCGUUGUUCGGAAUUACUGGGCGUAAAGGGCUCGUAGGUGGCCAACUAAGUCAGACGUGAAAUCCCUCGGCUUAACCGGGGAACUGCGUCUGAUACUGGAUGGCUGGAGUGUGGGAGAGGGAUGCGGAAUUCCAGGUGUAGCGGUGAAAUGCGUAGAUAUCUGGAGGAACACCGGUGGCGAAGGCGGGUCUCUGGGCCGAUACUGACGCUGAGGAGCGAAAGCGUGGGGAGCGAACAGG
rnacentral:rRNA from 1 species